GAGAAGAGAUCGUAUCAAUCUUAGGCUUCUAACCAAAGAAAAAGAGGUUAAACUCCUUUUACUUCUCU
rnacentral:tRNA from 2 species